GUGAUCUGAUUAAAAAAGGUCCCAAAAGCAGAGUCUGAACGGAUGUCAGAAAAAUACUCAACAUGUAAGAAACAAGUUCACUUAUACAUACAGGCUGUGAAAAUUGAUGACCACUGCCACCAUUUGCAGCUGUCAAAUUAGUGUAUGGAGCAAACUUAGCCUGGAGAGAUGGCCGCGGUACAAAGGGGCUGAUUCCAACUUCUGGCUGAGCAGCAGCAAUAGGUAACAUGGGAGAGUUGCUUGGCAUGUAAGCCAUGUUUGCAACUGCUGGCGCUGCUGCAGUGGCUGAUGUUGGAGUUGCAAAGGAUGGACAGAAAAUUUUUGCUCCUGGAUUGAGUUUGAACUCCUUAGAGCUUUUAGUGGAUUCUGAACUUUGUGGAGAGACUGCAUCAGCUGAAGAAGCCAAUGAACCACAACGUGAUUCUGCGGCCACAUCAACCAAUGCAUUGGAAGCAGUUGAAAUACUUGAACAAACAGCACUUGCAGAAGAGCUGCCUGCAGAAGCAGACCUUCCAAAGCAUUGACUGUCUGGUUUAACAAGUGCAAGCAUUGGAUCACAAGAUACUCCAUUAGGUAACAACUUUGUCAUUGUUUGUCCUUCCUCAACAGCCUUGGCUUCGAUUAUACUUGAGCUUUGAACUUCAUUAUCAUUCUUCUCCCCUUGAAGUUCAGAAUUCUGUUUGUGAUGAUCCUGCUCCCCUUGUGACCCAUUAUCUCCAACCUGCCUUCCAAUAACUGUGGAAUUGAAAGCUUCUUCACUUUUUGAAUUAUUUAUCCUCUCUCUCUUCCCAGGUUCCACUUCUGCGGCAGUUGCUGCAUGAUUUGGUAAAACUUUUCUCCCUUCAUAUUCCUUUCCAGCUUUUGUUGGCAUGCAAACAUUACCAAAACUAUUCCUGUUUUUGGUUGAAAUCCUGUUUUCAUUUUUUUUAUCUGUGGCCGACUUGUUGGAUUCUUUUGCCUCACUCACUAUAAUCUCAGAGGAAGGAAUAUUGACCACAUUUCUUUCUACCUCAUCACUAGCUACAUUUCCCAUGGCACCAUCAGCUGGGAAUAGAAUUCCCUUAGCUACAACUUGAACGAGAUCAUCUGAAAGAAUUACAAGCGUUUCUAUCACACUCCCAUUAGCCACAUUUCCAUCACAUUUCCCCUUCUUAAUCAAUUUUGCUUCCUUUAAAAUAAUACCAUAGUCCUUGUCGACAGAAGCAGUGUGGAAAGUUCCAGAAUAGACNAGAGCCAUCCCUGACAUGCACAUCAACGGGUAGUCCAAUUAUACACAUGGUAGCAAACAAUAAGGCUUCACUUAAACAAGAUUCUGUUUCAGCCUCUAC
rnacentral:misc_RNA from 1 species